rnacentral:lncRNA from 1 species
AUUCCAUUAUAUUGAUAACAAUGUGUGAACAAAACAAACAGACAUGAUAGGUGAAAAUGUCAAAAAUAAGGAUACAGCAAUCAACAUUCUGUUCUAAUCUCAAAAUCAAACAAAUAUGUCAACAAAGAUAAAGAAAAUGACGUAUAGACAAAGCACAUACGCAAGAAUGAAAACAAGAGUACAAAAACGACUAGAGUACAACAACGCAAUGGUGGGAUAUACAAGUACCGAG